rnacentral:rRNA from 1 species
CCUACGGGAGGCAGCAGUGAGGAAUAUUGGUCAAUGGGCGCGAGCCUGAACCAGCCAAGUAGCGUGAAGGAUGACUGCCCUACGGGUUGUAAACUUCUUUUAUAAAGGAAUAAAGUGAGGCACGUGUGCCUUUUUGUAUGUACCUUAUGAAUAAGGAUCGGCUAACUCCGUGCCAGCAGCCGCGGUAAUACGGAGGAUCCGAGCGUUUUCCGGAUUUAUUGGGUUUAAAGGGAGCGUAGAUGGGUUGUUAAGUCAGUUGUGAACGUUUGCGGCUCAACCGUAAAAUUGCAAUUGAUACGGGCAGUCUUGAGUACAGUUGAGGUAGGCGGAAUUCGUGGUGUAGCGGUGAAAUGCUUAGAUAUCACGAAGAACUUCGAUUGCGAAGGCAGCUUACUAAACUGCAACUGACAUUGAUGCUCGAAAGUGUGGGUAUCAAACAGGAUUAGAUACCCCUGUAGUC